rnacentral:rRNA from 1 species
GAUGAACGCUAGCGGCAGGCUUAACACAUGCAAGUCGAGGGGUAUAGGGAGGCUUGCUUCCUAGAGACCGGCGCACGGGUGCGUAACGCGUAUGCAAUCUACCUUUUGCAGAGGGAUAGCCCAGAGAAAUUUGGAUUAAUACCUCAUAGUAUGUGAGGAUGGCAUCAUUUUCACAUUAAAGUCACAACGGCAAAAGAUGAGCAUGCGUCCCAUUAGCUAGUUGGUAAGGUAACGGCUUACCAAGGCUACGAUGGGUAGGGGUCCUGAGAGGGAGAUCCCCCACACUGGUACUGAGACACGGACCAGACUCCUACGGGGAGGCAGCAGUGAGGAAUAUUGGACAAUGGGCGCAAG